AAAAGGGAAACCGAAAACUUUACAGAGUAGGUG
rnacentral:ncRNA from 1 species